CCUACGGGCGGCUGCAGUGGGGAAUUUUGGACAAUGGGGGCAACCCUGAUCCAGCCAUGCCGCGUGAGUGAAGAAGGCCUUCGGGUUGUAAAGCUCUUUCAGCCGGGAAGAAAUCGCAUCUCCUAAUACGGGGUGUGGAUGACGGUACCGGAAUAAGAAGCACCGGCUAACUACGUGCCAGCAGCCGCGGUAAUACGUAGGGUGCGAGCGUUAAUCGGAAUUAUUGGGCGUAAAGCGUGCGCAGGCGGUUUCGUAAGACAGAUGUGGAAUCCCCGGGCUCAACCUGGGAACUGCAUUUGUGACUGCGAGGCUAGAGUAUGGCAGAGGGGGGUGGAAUUCCACGUGUAGCAGUGAAAUGCGUAGAGAUGUGGAGGAACACCGAUGGCGAAGGCAGCCCCCUGGGCCAAUACUGACGCUCAUGCACGAAAGCGUGGGGAGCAAACAGGAUUAGAUACCCUAGUAGUCG
rnacentral:rRNA from 1 species